AUGGCGCCCUUGAUCCAGGCUGCUUCUGUCGUGAACGGCCACGAGAUGGUGACCAAAGCCGAUGGCAGCAGCACUGUGCAGGUGGCCUCCGGGGGCGCCGACACUAGCGAGAAGUUUGCGCCCUCGGUGUGGGGUGACUUCUUUGUCACCUACGUCCCUCCUAUCUCACAGAGGCCGGAGGAUUGGAUGAGAGAGCGGGCGGAGCAACUCAAAGGGCAAGUACGUCAGGCGUUCAAGGGGGGCAAGGACACCAUGACCAUAGCCGAUGCACUAACAUAUGUGGACACACUUGAGCGACUAGGCAUAGACAAUCACUUCCGUGAAGAGAUUGAAGAGGCACUAAACCUUCUGCAUGUAGAGCAGGCGGAGAUUGACGGCUCCAAUAGCCUACACAUCACCACACUUAAGUUUCGCCUAUUUCGGCAACAUGGACUUUGGGCAUCUGAGGAUGUAUUUGAUAAAUUCAGAGAGGACCAAGGUAGUUUCAGUGAAAGCCUUGGCAAUGACCCGAGGGGCCUUUUGAGCUUGUACAAUGCAGCUCACAUGGCAACACCAGGUGAGGUCGCUCUUGACGAUGCCAUCGCCUUUGCAAGGGGGCACCUGGAGGCUAUCAAAGGCAACAUCAGGUCACCAAUUGCAGAGCAGAUCUCCCGUGCCCUAGACAUCCCCCUCCCACGGUUCACAAGAAGGAUUGAAACCAUGCACUACAUUGAUGAGUAUGAGCAAGAGGGGGUGUACGAUGACAUGUUGCUAGAGCUUUCUAGGCUGAACUUUAACCUCGUUAGGAUCCUUCACCUCAAGGAGCUCAAGGACCUCUCAUUAUGGUGGAGGGAACUAUAUGAGACCAUGAAGCUACCAUAUGCUCGUGCCCGUAUGGUGGAGAUCUACUUUUGGACUUAUGGAAUGCUCCAUGAGGAGGAGUACUCUCGUGCACGUAUCCUAUUCGCCAAAGUGUUUGGAAUGGUGUCACUUCUAGAUGAUACUUUUGAUGUCCAUGCCACAUUAGAGGAGUGUCACAAGCUCAAUGAAGCAAUGCAAAGAUGGGAUGAAAAUGAGGUUUCUAUUCUACCGGAAUAUCUUCACAUGUUGUACAUCAAGACUCUCGGCAAUUUCAAAGAGUUUGAGGAUGCGUUGGAACCAAACCACAAGUAUCGCAUGACCUACAUUAAAAAAGCGUACAAGCUGUCAUCAGAAUAUUACCUACGUGAGGCUGUUUUGUCUAGCAAGAAAUAUCGGCCGAGCUUCAAGGAACAUGAGGAGAUAUCUAACAUGACCUCGGGUCUACCGAUGCUUACUCUCGUGACACUAAUGGGCUAUGGCGAUGUGGCAACCCAAGAGGUAUUUGAAUGGGUAGACAGAGUUCCUGGAAUGGUCCGCUCUGGUUCACAGGUCACUCGCUUCCUCAACGAUAUGUCUUCUUACUAG
rnacentral:rRNA from 1 species